UACGUAGGGAGCAAGCGUUGUCCGGAAUCAUUGGGCGUAAAGCGCGCGUAGGCGGCCCGAUAAGUCCGCUGUGAAAGUUAACGGCUCAACUGUUGGAUGCCGGUGGAUACUGUCGGGCUAGAGUACGGAAGAGGCAAGUGGAAUUCCUGGUGUAGCGGUGGAAUGCGCAGAUAUCAGGAGGAACACCUAUAGCGAAGGCAGCUUGCUGGGACGUUACUGACGCUAAGGCGCGAAAGCGUGGGGAGCGAACAGG
rnacentral:rRNA from 1 species